rnacentral:rRNA from 1 species
UCUUCGGAGAGUUUGAUCCUGGCUCAGGACGAACGCUGGCGGCGUGCCUAAUACAUGCAAGUCGAGCGGACUUGCUGGAGCUUGCUCCAGCAGGUUAGCGGCGGACGGGUGAGUAACACGUGGGCAACCUGCCUGUAAGACUGGGAUAACUCCGGGAAACCGGAGCUAAUACC